UGGCAUUUCAUAGCAAGCUGGAUUUAUACGCAAGGGAGCCAAGAAUUGUUCUUGUCACAGGCAUCAAUCCUAAGAAUGUUUCGGGUAAGAGAGCAUUUGUUUUGGCUGUUAUUUCAUUCGUCGAUGAUAUUCCCAUGGUCACGUUUGGUUAGCAAUUUUUACAUAACUCCACACCGUUUUGACAGGCAAGUUAUAUUUGAAUGGUACUUCUGCUACACGUGUUUACUUCGACUCUGAGACCGUAGUAGGAAAAGAUGAGUUUGACAGGCGAGUUCUUUAAUUUUUUUAUUCUGUCCUCGAUAUAUUGACUGUCUGAAUUCCAUGCCGUUUACUGCAUUUGUAAUUUAAUUGCCUUGCAGAUUGCCAGAUGUUGGGACAGAACAGUCAGGGUCUUCAUCAAAGGUUGUUCACGCUGAAAAGAUUGAACUUCUCACUGUUGCUGAGCUUACCCAAUUUGUUAUCUCCGGUGAUCCUCAGGUAAAUAAUGGUACAUUCUAAAUUACACCAUUCAUAGGAUAAGCUUGAGUAAUCUACGGACAAUUCAGAUAAGCAAUUGUGUAACAUUUUGAAUAGUUACUUUGGACAAGUUAAUGUUUGUGAGUUUCUCUUACCUUGACAGAUCAUCGAGUUUCUCAGCAAUCUGAGGGUUGGUGUUAUAUUGGCUGCGCCGUUUGUUCAAAGAAACUCAUCCGCGAGGAAUCGUCGUUCACAUGUGCCUCGUGCAAUGUAACCAAUGCCGUGGCUAAACUCAGGUAAUUAUUUUAACUUUUAUGAUUGUUGCUUGCUGGAAUCAUAACCUAAUAUUCAUUUCUGUAUGACAGGUAUAGAGUGGUUCUUUCUGUGUCAGACAACACAGGCUCAGCGGCUUUCGUUGGCUUUGAUACAGAGGUUGCUAAACUGACUAAUGUUCUGGCUUCUGAGGCUGCACAGAUUGUGGGGAUUGGAAUCAAUGCUCAGGUGGACACUGACCUUCCUCAAGCUCUCGCUGGUAUUGUUGGGAACACCUAUACCUUCCAGCUCAGGCUAACAGACUUCAAUUUCACUGCAAACCACCAAACCUUCACAAUUUCCCGCAUAUUCCCAGCACGAGAGCUUGCACC